rnacentral:rRNA from 1 species
AUUGAACGCUGGCGGCAUGCCUUACACAUGCAAGUCGAACGGCAGCGGACCUUCGGGUGCCGGCGAGUGGCGAACGGGUGAGUAAAGUAUCGGAACGUACCUUUCAGUGGGGGAUAACGUAGCGAAAGUUACGCUAAUACCGCAUAUUCUGUGAGCAGGAAAGCAGGGGAUCGCAAGACCUUGCGCUGAUUGAGCGGCCGAUAUCAGAUUAGCUAGUUGGUGGGGUAAAGGCCUACCAAGGCGACGAUCUGUAGCGGGUCUGAGAGGAUGAUCCGCCACACUGGGACUGGGACACGGCCCAGACUCCUACGGGAGGCAGCAGUGGGGAAUUUUGGACAAUGGGCGCAAGCCUGAUCCAGCCAUGCCGCGUGAGUGAAGAAGGCCUUCGGGUUGUAAAGCUCUUUCGGCCGGGAAGAAAUCGCAUGGGCUAAUACCCUGUGUGGAUGACGGUACCGGAAUAAGAAGCACCGGCUAACUACGUGCCAGCAGCCGCAGUAAAAC